rnacentral:rRNA from 1 species
AUUGAACGCUGGCGGCAGGCCUAACACAUGCAAGUCGAGCGGAUGAAGGGAGCUUGCUCCUGGAUUCAGCGGCGGACGGGUGAGUAAUGCCUAGGAAUCUGCCUGGUAGUGGGGGAUAACGUCCGGAAACGGGCGCUAAUACCGCAUACGUCCUGAGGGAGAAAGUGGGGGAUCUUCGGACCUCACGCUAUCAGAUGAGCCUAGGUCGGAUUAGCUAGUUGGUGGAGUAAAGGCCUACCAAGGCGACGAUCCGUAACUGGUCUGAGAGGAUGAUCAGUUACACUGGAACUGAGACACGGUCCAGACUCCUACGGGAGGCAGCAGUGGGGAAUAUUGGACAAUGGGCGAAAGCCUGAUCCAGCCAUGCCGCGUGUGUGAAGAAGGUCUUCGGAUUGUAAAGCACUUUAAGUUGGGAGGAAGGGCAGUAAGUUAAUACCUUGCUGUUUUGACGUUACCAACAGAAUAAGCACCGGCUAACUUCGUG